UACAGAGGGUGCGAGCGUUAAUCGGAAUUACUGGGCGUAAAGCGCACGUAGGCGGCAUUGCAAGUCGGGUGUGAAAUCCCCGGGCUCAACCUGGGAACUGCAUCCGAGACUGCUUUGCUCGAGUAUGGGAGAGGGAAGUGGAAUUUCCGGUGUAGCGGUGAAAUGCGUAGAUAUCGGAAGGAACAUCAGUGGCGAAGGCGACUUCCUGGACCAAUACUGACGCUCAGGUGCGAAAGCGUGGGGAGCAAACAGG
rnacentral:rRNA from 1 species